UGAGGAAUAUUGGUCAAUGGGCGAGAGCCUGAACCAGCCAAGUCGCGUGAAGGAAGACUGCCUUAUGGGUUGUAAACUUCUUUUAUACAGGAAUAAAAAGGCUUACGUGUAGGCCAUUGCAAGUACUGUAUGAAUAAGCAUCGGCUAACUCCGUGCCAGCAGCCGCGGUAAUACGGAGGAUGCGGGCGUUAUCCGGAUUUAUUGGGUUUAAAGGGUGCGCAGGCGGGCUUUUAAGUCAGCGGUGAAAUCUGGACGCUUAACGUCCAAACUGCCGUUGAAACUGGGAGUCUUGAGUAUGGAUGAAGUAGGCGGAAUUCGUUGUGUAGCGGUGACAUGCAUAGAUAUAACGAGGAACUCCGAUUGCGUAGGCAGCUUACUAAGCCAUAACUGACGCUCAUGCACGAAAGCGUGGGGAUCAAACAGGAUUAGAUACCCUGGUAGUCCACGCCGUAAAACGAUGAUUACUAGUUGUAUGCGAUAUGAUAGUAUGUGACUAAGCGAAAGCGAUAAGUAAUCCACCUGGGGAGUACGCCGGCAACGGUGAAACUCAAAUGAAUUGACGGGGUCAUAGCUGUUUCCUG
rnacentral:rRNA from 1 species